CAUUUCAAAAAUGGAUGGUUGAGAUUGAAUGACUGGAUAACCUAUUCAGCCCUUUGUUAUUGAGCACCUGAGUCACAUGUGACUCUUAUAAGGGCUAACAGAACCAGACGCAUGCUGUGGAGGUAGAAGACGACGCUCGCUCCAAGUUUUCUCUCUAAAUCGAAUCGUAAGAGCCUCCAGCUCUUUUCUCUGCUUGCCUAAAUCCAAUCAUAAGCGCCCCCAAAUCCUCUCUCUGCUUGCCCAUCAAAUGCUCUCCCUGCUUGCCCACCAAAUCCUCUCCCUACUUCCCAUGAGCGUGAAGAAAGAGAGAGAGACGACGAGGCAUGAAGAAAAGCUCCUCCAAUGCGAUUCUUGUUUUGCAAGGUUUAGCCUCGAUGACCGCCAUUGAUCCACGAUCGGAUCCGUUCAAGAGCUCACCGUUGAAAUUGCGUAGUAAUUAACACCAAGACCAGAGAUCUGAUGGGGCUAGGUACUCCUUGUCUGCUUGCUCAAGAUGCGAUAGGGUGCGAUGUGGACUGAUAGAGGCACUGGCAGCGGGCCUUCCAUAUCUUUAAGACGAAGUCACAUUGACACCCUUCGAUCCCACGUCCUUAAUCCCAACCGUUACUUUGGCCCUGUGGAUGAAAUCUUCGAUGUUCGAAACCUGUAUCAACCAUCAGAAUGUCUGGCUUGCCUUCGACGUCCAUAGCUUGUACCACAACAAUCUCUGUCAAGUCAGGGAUGAUGAUGAUUUUGUCGGUCUCUAUGUGGAUGAUGAAAAUGAUAAUUUUGGUGGAUUUGAGCUCAGCAAUCGCAGUCAGUACAUACCAUCUUUGCUUCUGUAAUUUUGAUCGGCCUCUGGCCUCUAAUUAUUUAUUUCAACGUUUCAAGAUUCAUUACACUACUAUUGCGACUCAGUUCUUUUUCAAGUUUAUGGUCGUUUAAAGUUUCAAUAAUUAAUCUUGCUGCCAUUGUUUGUAUGUCCUAACAUUUGUUGUAAAAUGUGUCUAAAUUUGAUGAACUGUCUACGUUUUUUUGCUGCGUUCUUAUAGCAUCAUCUGUUAUUGGGGCUCUGUUCUUUAUCAAGUUCAUGGUCGUUUUAGCUUUGUCAUUUGGUUUCAGAGCUUAAUCUUGUUGCUGGGUUUAUCAGUUUGUUGAAGAUUUUGGUCAAUCAGUCUGAAUUAUUUGGUUUCAAAAAUUAAUCUUGUUGCUGUGUCUUUCAGUUUCUUGAGAGGAUUUCUGUCAAUCUGUUUGCAUCAGUAGUUUGUGUUUCCCAAUAUUGUUUUGUCAUAAAAUCUGCUUAAAUUUGAUGAACGAUCUGCACUUUUUCUUUCUAGUAUCUCCUCCUUAUCUAAUUUUUCUCGUCUCUUCUUGUUCACAAUUUCAAUAAUCUAGGAACUCGGCGAUUCAUUGAAGGUGAAAUCCCCUUGAUUUCUGUGCACCUUCGUGAGCUGGCUGUACCUACACCUCAGUUCCAACAUGAAUAUCAUGUGAUCGUCGGGAUACAUUCGAACGAGUUUAGGCGUCUUAUCACUUAUCUGGGCCAUUUCGGAGUGUUAGUUGCUGCACAUGUAACAGAUACUAAAGUUAAGUUCUCACCGAAUCGAGGUCGUCACGAGAAAACUGAAGACAAAGCUGGCGACUCUGCCUAAGCGAGGUCCUCAACUCUUCUCUCUGCUUGCCCAAAACUGAUAUGCAGAGAGGUAAUCGUUGCGAAAUUGAUGAUGGGUCCAGCCUCCAUGAUGUAGUGGUCACCAAAUUGAGUGGAAUUUAGUUUGAUUUGUUGGAAUUGCGUGAACGACGACAUUUGAGUUGGUGGAGAAAGGAAGUGUAAAGAGGAUGCGUUGAAAAUUUGGAAACAUCAAGGGAUUCUUUUGGCAGAGGAGUUGAAGGGUUAGAAGCAGUUAGGUGCACAAAUGGCAAGGAAGGUGCACAUCACCGCAUUGGUUACUGAAAAGGAGUAUGGAUACAUGUGAAAAAACAAAUAAAGGAAAUUUGUACUGGAUAAUUUGUCUUUGUGCCAAAAUCAUGAGUUGCUUAGGUGAAAUACAAAUCUGUUUUUAUUA